GGGAGAGGGAGAGUUCCAAUGGACUGCCAAUAGCCCAGUUUGUUGGGUUUCGCCUUAGUUCCCUGUCCUACAGGCAUUGUCUUCUUCGUACGCCGGUGUAGUCGUUGGGUUUCCAUGGUGUUCACCUCUUCCGCCUAUACCGCCGUUGGGGUCUUGUUGGAACUCUGUAAGCAUGUCUGCCUGAUGCAGGGCUCCACCGCAGAUUUGUCGUUUGGGGCGGUGGCUGUAGUUAGUAGGCUCCAGGACCUGUCCACAUGCCAAUGGUCCUAUGCCCCGCCCCUCUGGGGCCCACUGCUACUCCGAGGUCUCCGUCUAGCCUGUGCCCACGAGGCACCCAGUUACCAUAUGUCGCCACGAGGAGGCACAGCAUGAGUCUUGAUGGUGAGGAGGCUGCGUACUGCUGGGGAAAGACUUAUACAAGUUGUUUUCCUGUUUGCCAAGAGGGCUAGCCAGAGGUGGUAGCUGAAAGCGAGAGGGAGCAAGCAGUGAUUGUACCUUAACACUAGCAUGAUGCUGCCACACGAGACGCAUUUCACCACCCUGUGUGCGAACACACACAUACAAACACACACACACACAUACGCUGUAUAAAUAAAGUGUAUGGAAUAUAAUUUAUUUAUUCCUUGAUGUUUAAACCAUCACUAUUAUUUUUAAGCUUUCGUGUCAUUGUUAACACCUGUUACAGCCUUGCUUGGCAUCACUGUUAACACCUGUUACAACCUUACAGUACUUGGCAUCACUGUUAACACCUGUUACAACCUUUCUUGGCAUCAGUUAACACCUGUUACAGCCUCAUUUGGCAUCACUGUUAACACCUGUUACAAAUUUCACUCAGCAUUAUGAUCAACACCUGUUUGAGCCAUCAUUUGACAUCCCUAUCAACAGUAAGCGACAUUUGACAUCAUUAUCAACACCUGGUAAACCUUUUCUUUGUUUACAGAUGUCAGUGGACGUUCAACUGUGGACCAGAGAAGUCUACCUAUCUCAAAUUUAGAUGUCCAUACUUUUGCUUAGGGGACAGUACCAACUGUGUGAAGGACCGCCUAAUACUAACGUCCAGGGGCGCUACUGAGAGACAUUGUGGCACAAACUCACCUGACGGCACCAUUACAAGCACCGGCUUCGCUCGUGUCACCUUCAGGGCGAACAGGGCGGUCGAAGACACGGGCUUCAGAUGUUAUGUUUGUUGCUUCGAUAAACCCACUAUUGUUACCAAACCCCCUCCCACUAUUGUUACCAAACCCCCUCCCACUAUUGUUACCAAACCCCCUCCUACUAUUGUUACCAAACCCCCUCCCACUAUUGUUA